rnacentral:lncRNA from 1 species
UGGCAUUUAUCUUACUCGAGUUCACCUUCAAUGUCACUUAUUCGUGAAAAAUGCAUGUGAAAACCGGUAACUCCUCGGAGCUUCCUGUAAUACGCCGUUCUUAUUCUUUCAGGAAACUGCGGAGGGAGAAAGACAGGCUGUGUCGAUUUACAUUCCAAAGGCUGUACACGGAGCAGUGCCAGCCCGCCUACAACCUGUCUGACAUCGCAUCCGUUUGGGACAAUUACCAGGGGUACUCCUCCUGGGGCAACGAUGACUCGGUUCUAUCCGAUUAUGAUCAAGGCCUGGCAAACUUUAUCAGCUAUCGUCAACGAUACUUGCAGCCAACAACACGACACUCUUGAAUUCAAGUUUGGGGAACAGCUCUGUGGAGGAGAUCACUCUCACCCCAGUGCUUCCUCCAUUCGCGCUGUGGCAAAGUAUUCUCAUCGCGCUGGUAAUUGGUAUCUGCAUUGUCUUAACCGUCGGCGGUAAUAUUCUCGUGCUGUUAGCCUUCAUGGUAGAUAGGUCGAUUCGGCAACCCAGCAACUACUUCAUCGCUUCAUUGGCGGCCACCGAUAUUUCAUAGGUAAUGUAUAUCAUAGAUGUGAAUCCGAUGGCUCUGAAUUAGAUGAUGUUUUAGAAAUCCCUGGGAUUUGAAAGGGGACUUGAACUAUUUUCACCCCGUGAGUGUAGGGUGCGGUCGAAAAAUGAAUGGGGUUUGCUCCAGUGACUCGAGUAGAGAGUUCGUGAAUCAGUUUUCUACUUCGAGGUAGUGCUUGGUUCACAGGAUUCAUCAGGAAACGCUUUUGUUCUAUUAUAAGAGAAGUCGAUUAAAAUUAAUCAAUUCAAACGGAAUGAUUGCUUAUAGGCGGGCCGUACGAGUGCGAUAGGUACAACAGCACAUCAAUACAGCGUUAAAUUUUGGCGAGAAGCAUUUGCAAUUUCAUUGAUUUUUUUUUACAAUUUCAUACCCAUUGCUCGUCGGCUAGAUGGACGUAUAUCGUUCCAGAUACACUUUUCGCCUUCAUCAUCCUUCCGUUUGCUUUGUAAUGCAGUUUGAUUAAAUUACUUUUAAAUAAAAAGUCUUGUUGGGAAAUUGUAGCAGAUGCAGAAGAUGAAAAACGUCGUUUAGUCUUCACACGUUGCUAAAUUUGCUUUGAUAAAAUAUGAAUUUUCAGGAAAAUCUGCGAAUAUGUUUCUUCCACUUUUUCAAAGACUUUCAUUCGCGGUCAGGUCUACAUUUUGUGAAAAUUUCAAGAGAAAAUAUUCUUAACUCUCCUCAAAAAUAAACAUUUCACCUGUGGAUGUUUGGCAUCUUGAAUGUUCAUACGGUGUUUUUCCUGAGCACGGUAGUACAGAAACGUAGUCGUGUUACGUAAAGUCACAUCGGGUAAAUUUUGGUGUAAGCCUCAAAACCCUUUCGGCUCACACGAUAUCUUAUUCUUGUAAAAAACACUAACUACAGAAGUUUUCAUGGCCGAAGUUGCAAAGACACCGCAUUAAAAUAACGAUUAU